rnacentral:Y_RNA from 1 species
GGGUGGCCCAAAGGUAAUGAGUUACCUCAGUUAAUUGUUCACAGUUGAACUCCUUGUUCUACCCAUUUUCCCCUUCUCACUACUGCACUUGACUGCUCUCUU